CCUGACUCUGAAGCGGAGCCGCGAACACUCUGGUGUCGGCUGUUGGCGACGGGCCUGGGUCUUCGUCCGGCUCAGGAAGCGACUCUAAUGUGGCACAGAGAAGAAAUACAGAAAGACAUAACACGGGGUCACGUUCCCUUUUGCCGCCCAAACAGCCCUGACCCGUGGAGGCUCGGACUCUACACGACCUCUGAAGGUGACGCCACAGCGUCUGGCACCAAGAGCAGCAGAUCCCUUCAGUCCUGAACGUACAUGGAUCGGACUCGUUUGUCCGGCCGAUCCCACCGCUGCCCGGUUGGAUUGAGACCUGGGGAACCUGCAGGCCUUGUUGUGUUUGUCACACCACUCCUGAAGCAUUUGUGCAGUGCGGCAGGUGGAAGAAGAGGUCACUGCCAUAGGGGAAACCUGCUUCCGUGCAGGGGUGAACUUGGUCUGCAGCAAUGUUUAGGUAGGUGGUAAAUGCUACUGGACCCUUGACUUCCUGACGGAACGCCCCCAGGUGGUGAGAAUGGGCAACAUCACCUCCUCUGAAAUAUCCCUGAGCACAGGAGCCCCCCAGGGCUGCGUACUCAGUCCCCUCCUGUACGCCCUGUACACACACAACUGCGUGGCCACACAUACUUCCGAUGCCAUCGUCAAGUUUGCAGACGACACUAUAAUAAUAGGCCUCAUCAACGACGAUGAGACCAGCUACAGAGAGGAGGUCGAGGCCCUGGCGUCAUGGUGCCGAACAACAACCACUCUCUCAGCGUCUGCAGGACUAAGGAAAUGAUUGUGGACUCCAGGAAGUGACGGGGGGGGGGGGUCCUCUGUCCAAACAGGCAGACUCUGCAGUCAAAUCUGCCCAAAAACGCCGCUACUUCCUGAAGAGACUCAAGAAGUUGGGCAUGUCUGCUCCGACACUCACAAACUUUCAUCCAUGCACCAUCGAAAGUGUCCUCUCUGGCUGCAUCACUGCCUGGUGUGGCAGCUGCACUGCUGCGGACCACAAGGCCGUCCAGAGGGUGGUGAAGACAGCAGAGCGCAUCAUCGGUCGCCAGCUCCCCUCUGUGCAAGGCAUCUAUCACACACGAUGCCUUGAGAAAGCACGGAAAAUCACCCAGGCUCUGGUCUGUUCUCAUUGCUGCCGCCUGGGAGACGCUACCGCAGCAUACAGGCGCGGACCACCAGACUCAAAGACAGCUUCCACCCCCAAGCCAUCAGGCUGCUCAACCAGCAAGCUGAACCCAGCACUUAGACACUGAUAAGAUUUAUCACACUACUGACACUUUGCACCAAAACUUAAUGCCAAUGCCAAUUAAUGCCAAGGGACAUCCUUACCUACUGUCACUGUCGUGCUUUUACUGUAUUGAAUGCCACUUAUUAUUUCUCUUGCUUGCCCUUAAUAUUAUUAUUUCAUUUUGUUUGAACUGCGGAACUGCUGCGGGCCUCGUACUAAGUAUUUCAUUGCCCAGUGUAAUCCUGUGUUGUACUGUACAUAUGACGAAUAGACUUGAAUAUAAGUGUCAAAGUCACAUCCACAUGAAUGGCAGGAGCCCAGGUUUCCUUUCUUCUCACCCCAAAUUGUAAAUGGCCGAAUUGUGAACACUGUAAAAUGACAGGUCAGGGACAAACAAGAGCAAAUAGUGGAUAAUGCUCAGAGGCUUUUUUCUGUAUUUAGUUUUUUGUGUUUUUUGAAUUAACGAAUGAAGCGCUCCAUUUAUGAACUGGCGCAGAAUAACUGGGAGGGCGUCAUGGAGAGAAAACAUCCAGAGCAGGACUGAGACACCAGAGACGUGUCCCUCUCAAAGUAUCUUCUGCUGAAAACAAAGGGCAUAAGGAGAACCACUAUAUCUAUCUCGACAGCUGAUUCGUAUGAAAAACAGAACUAUCAACCACACGACGCAAUAUCUGACACGUAAUUCAACCCGUGUCAAUAUUCAAACCAGCCUCUGAUUUGAAUAUAGUGCAGUUGUUCUCACAAAAACGUGUCAGGCUUUUACUACGGGCAGCUGUAAAAUUGUUCAUCCUAAUAAAGUUUUGCACUGCACCGCUGGGGAAAUAUUGGACCAUCAUUGGUGCUGCUAUCGACUCGCUGUGGGCUGGAGCUUUCAAAUGAGCCCUCGGGCAACGUGCUGUCAUCAGGUGUAUCGUUCCCCACUGUAUAUAAGGAGGGGCCUUUCUCUGUCCUCGUAGUCUUGGGCCCAUUCACUGCAGAAGGUUUGCUGGUGUCUCGUUUCCACUGUCUUCAAUCCAGCGGU